CGCGGGUUAGUUUACUUGGUAAAACGGUUCUUUUCUCACUGUCACCAUCUUUGAUAAUGAGAAAAGGAGAAAGUAGGUUCGAGUCCUACGCCCGCUC
rnacentral:tRNA from 1 species